rnacentral:rRNA from 1 species
UAGGGAAUCUUGCGCAAUGGGCGAAAGCCUGACGCAGCAACGCCGCGUGAGUGAGGAAGGUUUUCGGAUUGUAAAGCUCUGUCCUUAGGGAAAAAUUGUGUUGAGAUGAAUAAGCUCAGCAAGUGAUGGUACCUAGGAAGAAAGCACCGGCUAACUUCGUGCCAGCAGCCGCGGUAAUACGAAGGGUGCAAGCGUUGUUCGGAUUUAUUGGGCGUAAAGCGCGCGCAGGCGGAUUUUUAAGUCAGAUGUGAAAGCUCAGGGCCUAACCCUGAAAGUGCGUCUGAAACUGGAAGUCUAGAAUACCAAAGAGGAAAGGGGAAUAUCUCAUGUAGGGGUAAAAUCCGUAGAGAUGAGAUGGAACAUCGGAGGCGAAGGCGCCUUUCUGGUUGGUUAUUGACGC